GUGAAUCAUCGAAUCUUUGAACGCAAAUUGCACUCUCUUCGGAGAGUAUGCCUGUUUGAGGGUCAGCCUAUAAGAAUCGACAUAGUUGCUGUUUCGCGGGGGCGUUCGUCGGAAAUUGGGUCAUCUUAAAUCCUUUUGCUUUACGCGACUUAAAAUUUUCUUUUGGUUACAUGAACGUUUAUAUGAUCUAUUUCAUUACACGUUUACGGUAUCGAUUUUUAUUAUUUGUGAACAUGAUAUCGGAUUGCGCCCAUAAUCUUUCAUUAACUG
rnacentral:misc_RNA from 1 species